CACACGUUUCGGUGAAGAUGCAGCGCUCCUAUCUGUUUGCACUCUUGCCAGUUGUGCUGACUCUCUUUCUAGUCGGGAUGGUUUUCUCCAAUGAACGAAACGCUCAAAUAAAUUGUAAUCCAGCAAGCGGGUCCUGCCUUUUUCCUGAUGUGUGCGAGUGUCCACCACCGACGGAAGACAAAGAACACGGAACUCUAAUGUAUACCUUCGAAAAGGCUACCAACUCCUGCCGCUCUAUCAAAGGAAAGAACGACAGCUGUAACAGCUUUCUUCUGCCACAAGGUUGUGACUACUUCUGUGGCUCAUCAGACGAAUACCCUGAAUACUAGACAACGCAUGACGGGACAAUGACAAAAACAGCUCCAGGUGCACAUAACACAGCUGAAUAAACACUUUAUUUGAAAAUUGUA